GGCGCGCGUGCUGGACGGACCGGCGGUGUUUCAUUUCCUGUGGGACCUGGGGACACGUCCGGAAACCGGUCAGCGGCGUCUGAGCUGGCGGGAGAAAACCACUGUAUGAUAAGUUGCGGCGCGCGUGCUGGACGGACCGACGGUGUGUAAUUUCCUGUGGGACAUGGGGACACGGCCGGAAACCGGGCAGUGGCGUCUGAGCUGGCGGGAGAAAACCACUGUAUGAUAAGGAUACCACACAGCGAGCAAAUCACGCCCACCCAGCCUGUCGGGAGAUCCCUCACAGUGACGCAGAGGUGACAUACUCGGUACUGUCCCGGCGUGUGGGCGUCUUCCUACAUGUGAAGUAGUCACUCCCACCCAGUCAGACCAGAUAUUCCCUGUAGCGGCGCAAAGGUGACACAUCGGUCCAGCGCUGGCGCGCGGAGAGCUUCCUGCACGUAAUGUCCGGGACUCUAUUAUGGACAAUAUCCGUGCCCAUAUGCUCUGGAUUAUCUAUACCUGCAUCUAUUCCGUUUUAUGGAUGUAGAAAGAGAACUCAGGGUUUUCCGGAUAAAGUGGAACGCAAAUACUACCCUGUGACACGCAUAUGGAACGCACGAGUCACUUCCGGUUCCGGCGGGAGCCGGCGGCGGAAGGAGCAUACGUUUGGAUAGUGGGACGGCAAACAAGGAGACAUCAGCUGUUACCACUAAUGUAUGGCUUAUAUAAACUGCAAUCUGGAGCUAUUGGGUCAUGCUUCUGAGGAAGGACUUUAUGUCCGAUACGCGUUAAGCGUGACCCGUUCAUUUUAUCCUGGACUUUGACCCUGGUAUCUGCGGAAUACAUCAUCAGCCUGGAGUUCUGAUCCUGCAUGCUGUAAGCUUUCCGGAUAGCUUAUUUGCACCCCACACUGUUCUACAUCUGUGGCAUCGGAUCCCUCUGGGUGAUAUAUCCGUGUUUUGAUCCAUGGAGUCAUAUUUACAUGCUGUUAUAUUUUAACUUUUCUGUAAGUGUAA